UACUAACUGGAACAUGUGCUGUUAAAAGGAUGAGGUGCUGUGCGGAGAGAAGGCUAGGAUGGCCCAGUGCCUUGAAAUUCACUGGUCCAUUUGGAGGAUGUCAGUGGAAUGGUUGUCUACAUGCUCUAGCCCCUGGUGGCGGUCAGCCACGGGAAGGAGAGUCAGGCGUGUGGUGAACUUGCCAGAGAAGCAGGCCUGGCCUAGGCUUCACCUGUAGGUGUGAAGUUCAGUUGGGCGGAUACCAGGUGCCUGGGGGAUGAGGGUCUGGUCAUAGCUGCAGUGGGAGGUAAAUCUGAAACUUUUUGGCCUAAAUGUCUUCUGUGAUCAAUCCAGGUGAGCCCUUUCUGGUGUGAUCUUUUGUUGCAUGGCUGAUAGUAAGAGAUGGGCUCCCUGGCUCUGAAGCAGCGAUGCCUUGUUCAUAAUAGGGUGUCCCAAGAAGACUCCUGGAAUAGAGUUUGUGGUGCCUGCAGAAACAAAGCCUGCUAGCUGAUUUUACUGACACUUUCUGGACCUUGGAUGUACUCUUGUUUUCAACCAGGGGUUUCUCACUCCUGGCCUCUUCCAGUCCUGUUCUUUCCCAUCCUAGAUGCCUAAGUGUUCUGAAACUGAACCUAUACUGUGGCUAGUAUCCCCAAAGGGCUAUAAAGCAGCCACUUGAACGUGCUCACUGCUUUGAAUGGUCCAUCUCAGGGAGUUGAAUAUUAUAGUGGGAACCCAAAUGGUCAUUAUAGCGUAGUUUAUUUACUGUGAUUAGACAUUUAGCCAACUCCUCUAAGAAAACCCCAGUAUUUAAGCAUAUUCCUGGCCAAAUAUUCACGAUAACAAUAUUGUGUGUAGUAUGUACUUAACAUCAAAAGUCCUGAAGAUGGGCCGGGCAUGGUGGCUCACACCUGUAAUCCCAGCACUUUGGGAGGCCAAGGCAGGUGGAUCACCUAAGGUCAGGAGUUUGAGACCAGCCUGGCCAACAUGGUGGAACCCUGUCUCUAGUAAUAAUACAAAAAUUAGCUGGGUGUGGUGGUGCCUGCCUGUAAUCCCAGCUACUCGGGAGGCUGAGACAGGAGAAUCGCUUGAACCCAGGAGGCGGAGAUUGCAGUGAGCUGAGAUCGCACCAUUACAUUCCAGCCUGGGGAACAAGAGCGAAACUUCAUCUCCAAAAAAAAAAAAAAAAGUCCUGAAGAUAAAGAUAACCUCAGGGAAUGUCUCAUCUGCCAUCCUCUUGGAUGUGGCAUCAGUGGAAUUAGAUUGCACCUAUGCCUGCAAUGGAGAGGGUGCUGGCUGCAGCCUCUGCCCCUGAAGCUGUUGCAGCUCACUGUUUCUAACAUUACGAGCGUCACGUAAUUUAAAUUUUUUCUUACGCUGGGUGCAGUGGUUCAUGCCUGUAAUCCCACUCACCACUUUUGGGAAGCCAAGUUGGGAGGAUCUCUUAAGGCCAGUAGUGCAAGACCAGCCUGGGCAACAUAGGGAGAUCCCCAUCUGUACAAAAAAUAAAGAAAUUAGCCGGGCACCGUGGUACACGCCCGUAGUCCCAGCUACUCAGGAGGUUGAGGUGGGAGAUUGCACUGAGCUGUGAUUGUGCCACUGCACUCCAGCCUGGGCAACAGAGCGAGACCCUAUCUCAAAAAUAAAAAAAUAAAAAGUGAAUUUUUCUUGAGGGGGAAGGGACCAUCAUGGUGGCCGUAUUGCUUUACUUUCUGACGGUGUCGUCUUCAGAGAUUAUUGAGAUUGGGUUGUUGGUUCCCACGUGGCCAUGUCCUGUCAGUGUUGCUUCUGUGUGUUCCCUCGCUGUCACCUGUUGCUCCUAAGUGCUGAUGUGUUGCACCUUUUUCAAGCAGCCUCUGAUUGGUUUCUCCCCCACCCCGCCCGUGCCUUAGCGGUGCUGCUGGUGGUCUGCUCUGUGGGGCUGUGUUGAGAGGGAAGCUCUGAGGGAGAGGCUUUGCAUGCGUGCCUCGGUGCACGGUGCCAACCUGGAUCCCUGUGGCUGUGGAUUGGGCGCUUGCUGUUUGCCAGGCUCCAUCCUGAGAGCCACGCUUGGUGGACUGGCUACUUCAAUCCUUGCACCAACCCUCGGAAGUCAAUAUGGUGACUGUCCCCACUUUACAGAUAGGGACACAGGUUUGGAAAGGUCACAUCACUUGUGUCGCACGGCUAGUGAUGGGGGCCUGCCCUCCCGAGGGUCUGACUCUAGGGCCAGCAUUUGGCAUCACUACAGGAAGUUGACACUUUCACUAUUAUGUUUAUUCCUCUAACUUACUUCAUUUCCGCCCCCUACCCCCAGCCCAGUUUUACUGACACUUGCACUUGUCUGUGCAAGCAUUUUCUCUCCUGUUGCAUAAAGUUGUUUUUUUUAGUGGAGGGUAGUAGUUGCUCAGAAGCACUGGAAGACAGCAGUGGUCAGAGCCUGGUCAGCAGUGAAGGUCAGUGCCAUUGCCGGCCUCCGACCCUAGUGGUGAGUAGGUCGCUGCUGGACAGGAGGGCAAGGAGGGGCUAGGAAGGCAGAAAUGAGUUGUUGCUCAUGAGUACAAGCAAGAUGCUAGUGUUCUCUCUGAAGUCAAUAAAUCUGUUAAGAUGCCCUUUUAACCCUGUUUUAUGGGAUUACAGGACUAGGAAGUAUGUCUUUAGCCUACCUAGGGCUCUCGAUUUCAGACUCCCUGCUGUUUCUACAGGCAGUGUCUGGAACAGGGAUUCUGGGUGUGUUGGAGGCUGACUGUAGGCAAACCCUACCCCAGAGGUCCCAUGUGGUUGGCCCCUGGUGGGAUGUCUUGGCACCUGGAGGUCUGGAAGCCCCCGUGAGUGGGCAGUUAGGGCCGGUGUUCCUAGAGGAGGCUGUGCUGCCCUGUGGCUAUUUGUGAAAGAGAUUUGCAUCUGAUCACUCUGGGAGCUUGUCUAGUUAAGCACUGGGUUCCCUUUGCUGAGAUUUUGAGCAGUAAUCUUUUUUCUCUCUCUCUUUAAUGAGUAGAGCUCUAGGUUAAGAAAUAUGAAAAGGAAUGUUUUUACAUGGAAAAUGUUUUUUUGGUUAGCAUUGGCUUUCGCUUGGCCUAAGUCAGCAAAUAGCUUUCACUCUUGAACUAUCUAUCUUCUUCUUCUGGUUUUUAGAGACACGUAAUGACUAUUUUAGUAAAAUGCUUACAAAUCUAUUUUGUUUUUAUGCUUUAUGUUUUUUACGUUAACUUAGAAGUAUUUAACAGAUGUUACCCCUUCCUGUAUAGAGGUAGGUUAAUUGGAAAACAAAUUGAAAACACUAUUUUUUCAGUCAUGUUUACUAUAUUUUGUUUGUGGGGGUAGACACUUUGGAGUUCAUGUUAGCCCCUGAUGUGCCCGGCCCUCGAGAUAUGUGUGGAAGGAAAUUGUGUUUAUGGUUUUAGAAGCUUGCUUUUUCUAUACUUUUCAUAUCAUUCAUAUCUUGUAGGGAGGUAUUUCUAUUUAGACUUAAUAUCUGUAACUUUUUUAAAUUCUAAAAAAGUUUGUUCCUCACAGAAAAAUUGGAAAACAGAAAAAUAAAAUAAAAAUUACCCAAAGAUAAAUGCUAUUAAUAUUCCAGUGUACCUUUGUCUUUUGUCAGUGCCCGUUUGCACACAACUGACGUGCGUUCUGCCCGUUUUCACAUUGUCUGUGAGCAUCCUUCAUGCCUUUUAAGACUGCAUCAUGUUCAGUCAUCGGGACACACACAUUUAGUGACCAUUUCAAUAGUAAUCUGUUGCAGCGAUGUUUAUGUUGUUUGUUUUUCUUUUUGCUGAAGCUGAGAUAAAUCUCCUUACACACAAACCUUUGACUACAUCGCUGAUUGACUGUAUCCUAACAGCAGACUCCUCCCAGUGGGAUUAGUGGGUGAAAAGCUCAUUUCACAGAUGGAAAAAAAGUUCAUCACAUCCUGCCUCGUUGCUGUCCAUGCAGUUGCCCCAGUUUACACUCAGCUGAGGACCAGGCCACCCCCCUGCAGCUUUAUGAGCAUUUGACUCCUGAGAACAUUUUAACUGUAGUCCAAGUAAUUAAAUAAUUAUUCAAGCUGUCA
rnacentral:sRNA from 1 species